rnacentral:rRNA from 1 species
UACGUAGGGGGCAAGCGUUGUCCGGAUUUAUUGGGCGUAAAGAGCGUGUAGGCGGCCAAGCAGGUCCGCUGUGAAAACUCGAGGCUCAACCUCGAGACGUCGGUGGAAACCGUUUGGCUAGAGUCCGGAAGAGGAGAGUGGAAUUCCCGGUGUAGCGGUGAAAUGCGCAGAUAUCGGGAAGAACACCCGUGGCGAAGGCGGCUCUCCGGGACGGUACUGACGCUGAGACGCGAAAGCCAGGGGAGCGAACGGG